rnacentral:rRNA from 1 species
GACGAACGCUGGCGGCGUGCUUAACACAUGCAAGUCGAACGAAGAGCGAUGGAAGCUUGCUUCUAUCAAUCUUAGUGGCGAACGGGUGAGUAACGCGUAAUCAACCUGCCCUUCAGAGGGGGACAACAGUUGGAAACGACUGCUAAUACCGCAUACGAUCUAAUCUCGGCAUCGAGGAUAGAUGAAAGGUGGCCUCUACAUGUAAGCUAUCACUGAAGGCGGGGAUUGCGUCUGAUUAGCUAGUUGGAGGGGUAACGGCCCACCAAGGCGAUGAUCAGUAGCCGGGCUGAGAGGAUGAACGGCCACAUUGGGACUGAGACACGGCCCAGACUCCUACGGGAGGCAGCAGUGGGGAAUCUUCCGCAAUGGACGAAAGUCUGACGGAGCAACGCCGCGUGAGUGAUGACGGCCUUCGGGUUGUAAAGCUCUGUUAAUCGGGACGAAAGGCCUUCUUGCGAAUAGUGAGAAGGAUUGACGGUACCGGAAUAGAAAGCCACGGCUAACUACGUG